AUUGAACGCUGGCGGCAUGCUUUACACAUGCAAGUCGAACGGUAACAGGCCGCAAGGUGCUGACGAGUGGCGAACGGGUGAGUAAUGCAUCGGAGCGUGCCCAGUCGUGGGGGAUAACUACUCGAAAGAGUAGCUAAUACCGCAUACGAUCUAUGGAUGAAAGCGGGGGACCGUAAGGCCUCGCGCGAUUGGAGCGGCCGAUGUCAGAUUAGGUAGUUGGUGGGGUAAAGGCUCACCAAGCCAACGAUCUGUAGCUGGUCUGAGAGGACGACCAGCCACACUGGGACUGAGACACGGCCCAGACUCCUACGGGAGGCAGCAGUGGGGAAUUUUGGACAAUGGGCGCAAGCCUGAUCCAGCAAUGCCGCGUGCAGGAAGAAGGCCUUCGGGUUGUAAACUGCUUUUGUACGGAACGAAACGGCUCUGGUUAAUACCCGGGGCUAAUGACGGUACCGUAAGAAUAAGCACCGGCUAACUACGUG
rnacentral:rRNA from 1 species